rnacentral:rRNA from 1 species
AACGAACGCUGGCGGCGUGCUUAACACAUGCAAGUCGAACGAGAAGCUCACUUCGGUGAGUGGACAGUGGCAGACGGGUGAGUAACGCGUGGCAACCUACCCUUCACUACGGGACAACAGUUGGAAACGACUGCUAAUACCGUAUACGUCCUCCGGGAGAAAGAUUUAUCGGUGAUGGAUGGGGCCGCGUUAGAUUAGCUUGUUGGUGAGGUAAUGGCUCACCAAGGCGACGAUCUAUAGCUGGUCUGAGAGGAUGAUCAGCCACACUGGGACUGAGACACGGCCCAGACUCCUACGGGAGGCAGCAGUGGGGAAUAUUGGACAAUGGGCGCAAGCCUGAUCCAGCAACGCCGCGUGAAUGAUGAAGGCCUUAGGGUUGUAAAAUUCUUUCGCUAGGGAAGAUAAUGACUGUACCUAGUAAAGAAGCCCCGGCUAACUCCGUGCCAGCAGCCGCGGUAAUACGGAGGGGGCUAGCGUUGUUCGGAAUUACUGGGCGUAAAGCGUGCGUAGGCGGAUUAAUAAGUUAGAUGUGAAAUCCCAGGGCUCAACCCUGGAACUGCAUUUAAAACUGUUAGUCUUGAGUUCUGGAGAGGUAAGUGGAAUUGCUAGUGUAGAGGUGAAAUUCGUAGAUAUUAGCAGGAACACCAGAGGCGAAGGCGGCUUACUGGACAGAUACUGACGCUAGCAC